GCAGGGAAUUCCUGUUUUGCUUGCUCAGAAUUGUGUUUGCAGGAAAUUCCUUUUUUACUUUGUUAUGAGUUGUGUUUUUCAAGCUCUCCACAGUUAAACUGGCAGGCUGGAACCAGAGGCAGUCUCUUCAAGGGCUCUGCAGGCAUAUCCAUGCAGCUGUAAAGUGAAAGUGAGAACUUCCUUUGGCAUCCUGUCUUUGUGGUGCUGCCAUUCCUGUUGAAUGCAGUCUCAGUGAUUUGUGCUGGCUGGAUUCACGUGUGGCAUCUCGUUGACUUUGCUGGUGAGUUCAGACAGCGAGGUGUUUUUUCAGAAAGCACAUGAGGAGGAGAGAGCAGCACUUCACUGAACGAGCUGUACAGCCCUUGGUGCUGCAGCUCAGACCUGGAGAAGCCUUUACAGGUUCUUUUGGAUCGUCAAUGGCAGAGCAUGAGACAAGGAAAACCCAAAACAUCAGUGUGUUAUCACCAUUUGCAUUCUGAAUCCAACCCUCAGCCCUGUAACCUCUGUUGAGAUGAAAUUAACUCUGUCCUAACUGGAACCAGGACAAAUGAGAGAAGCCAUAAUUACAUGUGACAAAUACUUUGGAAUUGACCUGACUGUCUUGAAAAACUUCCAUAAGUACUCUCAGUGGAAGAGGCACAUGCUAAGAGAUUAUUUCAGUUUGAAAAGAAAUAAAUUUUUCUUUCUCUGUUCACUGUACGUUUGACAAUAAAUAAUGGGGAUUUCAUUGUG